CUUUAUUCUUAAAACUCAAAACUCACAUUUCUUCUCUAUAACAUUUAAAGAUUCCAUCAACCCAAUGCAAAUUCUUUUUCUCUUCACCAUAGUCAAAAACAUAUCAAGCACUUAAAGGGGCUAUCUUUUCAAAAUUGUGAUUUAAAAAACUCACAAAAUCAGAAUUGCUAGUUUUGUGAUAGCAUUACUUAAAGGAAGAUGGGCAAGGAGGGUGUUGCAACCAGAGUUUUAGCAGGAGGCAUUACAUCACAGUAAGCUGCGUCACGGGUGUCAUUUGUGAUGAUUUGAAACCAUAGAAACAAAUCAAAGCUACAGCUCAUGUUUGCAUUGAGCUAAGAUUGCAGGCGCGUGAACUGUUCACACCACCAAAAAUGAGUAAUUUCACUGCUGUAGAAAGAAGACUAGUGACAAAGAUGGAACAGUGAGAAAAGCACCACAUCAGAACUCUGUGAAUCUCUUGCUACUAAUUUUGCUCAAGUACCCAUCCCUUUAGCAUACCACCUAUGUUUAAGGAAAUGGCUCCAUCCCCAACUCAGGCAAAUGUAUUCUGAUUAUUUUAAGCCAUUUAUCUUAGUUCCAUGGUAUCCUUUUUAGGCCAAAGAGAUAUGAGGAGGGGUUGGAUGAAGGCUUCUGGAAAAAUUUCUCCACUUUUAAGUAGGUAACACUGAAAAAUCAGACCUUUUCAGCUUCUCCACUUCAUUCUGUCUGGAUGUGAUACCUAGAAAUGCUACCAGCUGAGGAAGAAGCCAAAAUGUGGAGAAGGACAGAAUCAAGAGAAUUGCAAAGAAGCUGAGUUGGAAUCCUGACAAACCACGCUGGAGUGGCCCUACCUCCGUUGUUUCAGGCAUUUUGAGUCAGGGCUUUCUGGUACUUACAGUCAAAGGCAUCUAAAUGACAGUCUCCAAAAUUCACCAUAGCAUUGUCUCUGUGAGAUAGAGGAAAAGAUGAAGAUGUGAAAAAUGGAGCACAGAAAGAUUACAAUAUUGACCAAGAUCAUGAAUCUAGAAAGUGUCAUAGUCAGGACUUAAGUCUAAGUCCUCUGAUCUAGUGCUCUUUCCAUCAAAUGACAGCUAGAGGUUGGAGCAAACCUAUGAGUUAUGAGAGAAGUAGGAAGGCAGCUCCAGACCACUUGCAAGGAAACUGGGAUCUGCUCUGGGUUGUGUCAUCCACCAGCUGUGAAAACUUAGCUGAGUCAUUUUUAUUUCUCUGAGCCACAAUUUCAAGGAACUACACUAGACAAUCUAUUAUGUGC
rnacentral:lncRNA from 1 species